rnacentral:rRNA from 1 species
AGACAACCGUGAUUCUACUCACGUGAGCGGCGAGCGAAGAGGGAUCGGAACUCGAUGCCGAAUCGGGCCUCAUAGGGUCUUGAGUUGUGGCACGAACGUCACUUUUGUGGAUGGUGCAGGAAUGGCGAAAUUCAAGCGCAAAGCAAACCCAUUGCUGAAUACAACCCUUCGUGUGAGUAUUGAGCCAAAGAAGGUGUUAGCCCAUUGAGCCAUAAACCUGAGCGCCUCAUGAAGUUUCUAAGAGAGUAGCACUGUUUGGGAAUGCAGUGUCAAGCUGGCAGGUAUUUGUCUGCUAAAGUUAAAUACAGAGUAGGAAGACCGAUAGCGAACAAGUAGUGUGAACGAAAGUUUGAAAAGCACUUUGGAAAGAGAGUGACAUAGAACCUGAAAUCGUGACAAUGACAAUGGAAGUACCUCCAUUU